rnacentral:tRNA from 1 species
GCUGUGCUGGUUCACUGGUAGAAUUUUUACCUUCCAGGAAGGAGACCUGGGUUCGAUUCCCAGCCAAUGUA